GAGGUUAGGUUUGCUCCCGAGUGCAUAAUAACACGAAGUUGCAGAGAAUCGCUCAGUUUCUCUUUCUCCUUAUUUUCAAUGGAUGUUCCUUUAAGUUUCUAGAACCCAAGCAACUGGAAAAACGCAAUAAUGGGAAGUUUAAUAGCUUAAUAGCCAUAUAAAAAUGAACCAAGUCCUUUAGUCAAUGAGAUAACGGAAAAGGCACGCGAAGGCAGUGACAAUUCCAGCGACGCCGGCGACGACGAGCCAUAUGGUGGGCGGGAGCAGUCCGAGCAGCCGCGCGCCGUUCCCGCAGUUGGCCUCGUCGUGACCGGAUGGGCAGUGCGCGUGGCCGUCACA